CCUACGGGGGGCAGCAGUGGGGAAUAUUGCGCAAUGGGCGAAAGCCUGACGCAGCGACGCCGCGUGAGGGACGAAGGUCUUCGGAUCGUAAACCUCUGUCAGCAGGGAAGAACGGUCACUGUGCUAAUCAGCAGUGAAUUGACGGUACCUGCAAAGGAAGCACCGGCUAACUCCGUGCCAGCAGCCGCGGUAAUACGGAGGGGGCGAGCGUUAGUCGGAAUUACUGGGCGUAAAGCGCACGUAGGCGGUAUGUCAAGUCAAGGGUGAAAUCCUCGGGCUCAACGUGGGAACUGCCUUUGAAACUGGCAAACUGGAGUGUGUGAGAGGAUAGUGGAAUUCCAGGUGUAGGAGUGAAAUGCGUAGAUAUCUGGAGGAACAUCAGUGGCGAAGGCGACUAUCUGGCACAUAACUGACGCUGAGGAGCGAAAGCGUGGGUAGCAAACAGGAUUAGAUACCCCAGUAGUC
rnacentral:rRNA from 1 species